GGUGAGUGGCGGACGGGUGAGUAACACGUGGGUAACCUGCCCAAAAGUGGGGGAUAACAUUUGGAAACAAGUGCUAAUACCGCAUAACAACUGCUUUCACAUGAUCGCAGCUUGAAAGAUGGCUCUGCUAUCGCUUUUGGAUGGACCCGCGGCGUAUUAGCUAGUUGGUGAGGUAAUAGCUCACCAAGGCAAUGAUACGUAGCCGACCUGAGAGGGUAAUCGGCCACAUUGGGACUGAGACACGGCCCAAACUCCUACGGGAGGCAGCAGUAGGGAAUCUUCCACAAUGGGCGAAAGCCUGAUGGAGCAAUGCCGCGUGAGUGAAGAAGGUUUUCGGAUCGUAAAACUCUGUUGUUGAAGAAGAACAUGCGUGAGAGUAACUGUUCACGUACUGACGGUAUUCAACCAG
rnacentral:rRNA from 1 species